GGAAGGUCGACGGCCACGGCCCGGUAGCCCCUCUUUGAGAGGAGCUGCAGUGUGCCCAGCUGCUCCCAUGUGUGGGAAUUAAAUGCUUUCCCAUGGAGAAACACGACUUCCGCCCUGCAGACACAUUGGGAAACAUGUGGUAUGGGACCGGAGCAGCCAGUGUCCCUUCUUCCCAGGGGUCUUCCACUGCCCUCCCAGGCUCUGAGACCCGUGAGUUGGGCUGGGGUCGCCACUAAACCCUUGAGUAAAGCAUUUACCUGUGUGUCUGCUGGAGCGGCAGCACCUCCCGGUAAAAGAUUUGGGAGCUGCCUCUGGUGAGACCAGUCAGGACUGUGACAUUAGGACCUCUCCCGAGCUGGGAAGUCUGCUUGGGUGGGCCAGGCAACCCCAUGUACAGUAGGAACAUGAGGAGCAGGCCUAGACCCAACAGGGCUGCCUGGUACCGGCUCAUGAAGAUCUGUACCACACAGCCUGGAGGAGAAAAAGGAAGAGAGAGGCUGGGGAAGACCUGCAGCCCUCUUCCCUUCUUUUGCCCUGAAUGAAUGUCUGGAUGCUAAUACCCAACUACUUCUCAGGCUACUUUUUCUGGUCGUAGCCUCUGUGCUUGGGCCUCCACACUAAGCACUCAGAAGCCACAGAAAACACAGCGAGCAGAUCCCUAUCUGUUCUCUGACUAUCCCUAUAGUUCUCUGACGCCAAGGAAUCCAGGCUCACAGGUGAAGGAGGUUGGAGUUAAACUGUGCUCGUUUGGGCUACUGAAGUGCCCCCUCUACCACGGCACACAGGAGUGCACACUCUCAUAAAAGACACAAAAGCCUCGCUUCUGCACACUUUUCAAAGGGCUAUCCCCCCAAAUCUACAACAGCCUCUUGGCAUCCCCAGUGGCUUACGCAGUCAGACUCUUGCAGUAACAGCCACAAAAUCCCACGCAUGGGUGUGUUAACAGUCUCCUCUAAGAUCAAAAGAUUCCAUGCUGCAGAGAAGCUCCUCAAAGCAGGGAGGUGAACCACCAGAAAUCAGUUCCAAGAACUCCAUGAAACCGGCAAGAUUCACCAGGCCCUUCCCUGCCAGAGCAAACCACAAAAGCUGAGAACCCCUCUCCCACCAAAUAAAACUAAGCUGCAAAGAGGAGUCCGAGAGCACACCAGCUCCCUGAAGAAGCAGAAACCAGCCGAGCUGCCUACAGGAGGCUUACACACCAGCUGGGGCACUUGGGAAAGGCACUCUCCAACCAGUCCAGCUGCCUGCUGGCUGUGCAGUGUGCUCCAUGUUUUGUGAACUGUCACCCCUGCUUUGGGCUCUUGGUGACACAGCUGUCUCUGAGUCCUUUCUGCUCCCAUAAAUAUUUCUGUAAGUAACCUUGAUAAAAAUAAUUGCUUCGA